rnacentral:sRNA from 1 species
GUAUUCCCAUAACGGGGAAGGAUGAGAAGCUUCGAUUCGAGCGUAGCGAGAAAGCGUUGCCGCAGGCAACGACCCGAAGGGCAAGGCGCAACGCGCCGAGUAAUCCUUCCCCUACCACCA